CGGAAGCCGGGUGGGGGGGAGGGGGGGAGACGGAGCAGCCUUGAGCCCUGCGGGGGCCGUCGCGCGGGGGGACCCACCCGCUCUCCCCCCCAACCCUCCUCAGCAGAAGCAGCCGGCGGCGGGGGUAGGAGUCAGCCCGCUUCCGACUGCACCCCGCCCGUCUCCCGGGGCUCCCAUUCUUUGGCCCCGGGACCCUAACCUCCUCCCGGGGCGGUUCCCUGUGUCUGGGCGUCCGAGUGCUGCCCACCUCUCUUUCAUUGCUCCCCGCACCUCCUUACCUUCACUUUGCCCCGGUUCUCUUUCUCCUCUCUGUCCUGCCCUGUCGCCUCCUCUGCUCACUCUGUUCCUCCUGCUUCCUUCCCUGCUCUUUUCUGUUCGGGAAAGUUUAGUACCCCCCCCCCGCCCCCCGCCUACAACCUGACGAGGAGUAGGGGGAGAUGUAGGAAGGCCUGAGAGUUCGAGGGGGGGAGCUAGUUUCCCUGAACAUUUCCCCUCAUCUUUUCACUUUGGGGUGGUUGGAAUUUUUUUCAGUUGCAUUUUUGAGGAGGUGGUAGGUGUUUAGAAAAGGAUGUGGGAAUGGAAGGGGUAGAUGAGUCAAGCCUCUUACAAGAUUCCCAGGGUGGUGUGUUACCUGAUCCUUUUCGCGUGUGGAGUUCAGGGGGUCGGGAGGUUUGGCCUUUAUUCCCACAUUCAAAGUUGGAACCUCCCCCGAAUUAAGGAUGGAGUUUUAGUACCCACUUGUGGCAGGAAACCUGGGGGGAAGGGGUCCCUUUUUCCUUUUUCUUUUUCUUUUCUCCUUCAUUUUUUGGGGCAACCCACACCCUUCCACACACACUCACCCCCAAAUUAAACACCAAGAUCCUCUAACUUGUCUGGAUUGACUGAUGAAGACAUAAAGCCACUUCCGCUCCAUGUUUUUGGAGGUGGAGUGAGUGGGUUUUUUCUUCAUUUUUAAAUGGCCAAAUGACAGCUUGACCCAGUUUGCUUUCCAAUCAAAGGGCAUUUUUUUUUGAAUGUCUCUUUGUGGCGCAAGAGCCAACGCAAAAAUGAUGGCGGCUUACAAUGGCGGUACAUCUGCGGCAGCAGCAGGGCACCACCACCACCAUCACCACCACCUUCCACACCUCCCUCCUCCUCACCUUCACCACCACCACCACCCUCAGCACCAUCUUCAUCCCGGGUCGGCUGCUGCUGUCCACCCCGUACAGCAGCAUACCUCCUCGGCAGCUGCGGCAGCCGCAGCAGCGGCCGCAGCUGCAGCCAUGUUAAACCCUGGGCAGCAGCAGCCGUAUUUCCCAUCACCGGCACCGGGUCAGGCUCCUGGACCAGCUGCAGCAGCCCCAGCUCAGGUACAGGCUGCCGCAGCUGCCACAGUUAAGGCGCACCAUCAUCAGCACUCGCAUCAUCCACAACAGCAGCUGGAUAUUGAGCCGGAUAGACCUAUUGGAUAUGGAGCCUUUGGUGUCGUCUGGUCAGUAACAGAUCCAAGAGAUGGAAAGAGAGUAGCACUCAAAAAGAUGCCCAACGUCUUCCAGAAUCUGGUCUCUUGCAAAAGGGUCUUCCGGGAAUUGAAGAUGUUGUGUUUUUUUAAACAUGAUAAUGUACUCUCUGCCCUUGACAUACUCCAACCUCCACACAUUGACUAUUUUGAAGAAAUAUAUGUUGUCACAGAAUUGAUGCAGAGUGACCUACAUAAAAUUAUCGUCUCUCCUCAACCACUCAGCUCAGAUCAUGUCAAAGUUUUUCUUUAUCAGAUUUUGCGAGGUUUGAAAUACCUCCAUUCAGCUGGCAUUUUACAUCGAGACAUUAAGCCAGGGAAUCUCCUUGUGAACAGCAACUGUGUUCUAAAGAUUUGUGAUUUUGGAUUGGCCAGAGUGGAAGAAUUAGAUGAAUCCCGUCACAUGACUCAGGAAGUUGUUACUCAGUAUUAUCGGGCUCCGGAAAUCCUGAUGGGCAGCCGUCAUUACAGCAAUGCUAUUGACAUCUGGUCUGUCGGAUGUAUCUUUGCAGAACUACUAGGACGAAGAAUACUGUUUCAGGCACAGAGUCCCAUUCAGCAGUUGGAUUUGAUCACAGAUCUCUUGGGCACACCAUCACUGGAAGCAAUGAGGACAGCUUGUGAAGGUGCUAAGGCACACAUACUCAGGGGUCCUCAUAAACAGCCAUCUCUUCCUGUACUUUAUACCCUGUCUAGCCAGGCUACACAUGAAGCUGUUCAUCUCCUUUGCAGGAUGUUGGUCUUUGAUCCAUCCAAAAGAAUAUCCGCUAAGGAUGCCUUAGCCCACCCCUACCUAGAUGAAGGGCGACUACGAUAUCACACGUGUAUGUGUAAAUGUUGCUUUUCCACCUCUACUGGAAGAGUUUAUACCAGUGACUUUGAGCCCAUCACCAAUCCCAAGUUUGAUGACACUUUUGAGAAGAACCUCAGUUCUGUCCGACAGGUUAAAGAAAUUAUUCAUCAGUUCAUUUUGGAACAGCAGAAAGGAAACAGAGUGCCUCUCUGCAUCAACCCUCAGUCUGCUGCUUUUAAGAGCUUUAUUAGGUCCAGUCAGGAGAAAGAAACCACACCCAGUAAUAUGAACAGGGAAAAUUUAAUAACAAGCAUUAACUAGGAAAAGAUGCUUAACUACUAAAAGGCAUGCAAGAGGAUUCUGAAGAGUCCGAAGUAGCAAAUGCAGAAAGCAAGUACUCCCUGUGGACUGAGGGAGAGUGAACAAGGGAGAAAUUGAGAACUUGGAGGAAGCCCCUCUAUCCAAGGCCAGUAAGAUUUGGACCUCUUUGGAGAGGAGCCACAGGAACACAGCAUGAUGAAGAAACUUUACAAAAGGGUUCCACAGUUGCUCAGCCGUCUGAGAUGCCCCCAUCUCCUCUGGUGUGGGAGUGACGGUGGAAGACAGUGUACUACUGAAGAUGUAAUGUAGCUUUCCACUGGAGUCUGGGAUUUGCAAUUCUGGAGGUUAAUCAUGCUUGUACUGUAAUUUUACUAAUGAAGUUUUAAAUUAACAACCACUACUUGUAUGAUAUAAUAUUUAGAAAUGUUACUAGACUUUUAAUCUUGUAAAGUGGUUGUGCUUUUAGAAGAAAAAUAUUUUACCCAGAGUUGCACAUGUUUUAUGAAUUUAGUGCAGCUGUUAUGGCUCACCUCAGAACAAAAGAGAAUUGAACCAAAUUUGGGAGUUUGGGGUUUUGUGUUUUUUGUUUUGUUUUUUAAAAUGAAGUGAGAUUGUUCACACACACACACACACACACACACACACACACACACAGGACAGUCAUACAUUUUGAUAUUUGAGCCAUUCCUGAAAAUUUGGGGUUCUCUAAAACGAAAGAAUCUGGAAACCUUGCCUGCGACCAAUCAUGGAGCCACGUGAGCUGAUCGUGGCUGCACCUCGGGAGGGGGGAGGGGGGAGGGGCAUGCCACCUAAUGAUCAAGCCCUAUAAUUAGCUUCUCAUUAGAGCCGUGACGGUGAUGUGUGCUGUCUAAAAUCCAAUGUUGUUGGUAGAGAGAAUGAGUUUGUGACUAGGAGAGACUAAACUUUUGUUUUCCUUACCCAGUAUAAAUAUAUAUAUAUAUAUUUAAUCUAUUUUUAUUAGAAGUUUUUCUGCUCUUUCUUACAUAAAAGAACCCCCAAGCAUGCAUCUUUCAUGUGUGUAAAUAGUUCAUUUCUGGGCUAAUUUCAAAAGAAUCCCAACAUUGCUGUAUAGAGAGAGAACUAGCUUGCACAUUUUAGGUCUGUGAAAUUUUGUGAGACUUUUCCUGCACUGGACAGUAAAAAAAUGAAUAAAAGACAAAAACAAAUUAAAAAAAAAAUUUAAGCCACAAAAAAAAAGGCACAUAGGGAAUUAUGUCAAAUGUGUUUGUGUCCUUAGGCAAAGCUGUGGGAGUCUUGAAAUGUCACAGUAGUAAAUAACUUAUUACUUUUUGACAAAUUCUUUUUUCUGUUGGAACACUGAAUUCUUCUGUGCAUAUGUAUAUAUGAAUACAAAUUGAAGGCCUCUACCUCCUGGAGUUACACAACUUGGCUUGUUUACCUCCACAUGCUGAUGAUGACUAUUUUUUUUUUUUUAAGUUCAAUGUGGAGACUUGAAACUUGAAUGUCCCUUCCAACUUUUAUAUUAAAAAUAAAAAGACAAGAAAAUUGAAGAUCGUUUUUCACCUGUACAAGGAAUACUAAUGGAUCGUCUUAAAAUUGGUCUAGGAAAAACCUUGGUGUGUGUUAUGGACAAUUAACUGUUAAAGUUAUUGUAAGUUAUCUGUAUUUAGCAGAGUAUUUUCAUCUUGAGUGAUCUGAGCUGAAUUUGAAGACUAUUAAUAAGUUAUGUUUGGAAGUUUUAACUUCAAUGAAGUAAUUAUUUGCUGUGAAAGAAACAAACAUUGAAUUACUAAACAAAGAUGGUGCAAUAUCUUUGUUUUUUUUUUUAUGAGGCUCCUGAGAAUCAACCCAACUGAAGCAUUUCAAUUCACUUGAAUGAGAAACGUGUUUAGUAUCAAAAGAGCCCAAGAAGACACUGGUGUGAAAGGUACAAUCUCAGAGGUUGGUCAAUUACCGUGGCACACUUACUGGUCACUUUGUACAAUGUAGAUUUGAAGUACAGUGGUGAAAACAUUAAAUGUGACAUUUGAAAAAGAGGUGUCAUCUGUUUUGUUUCAACUCCUUUCCUUUAUUUUCUCUUCAGUACAGCUUGUAUCCUGAAUUUGCAAAGUUUUGAGACAUUACCUAUUUAUAUUUCCAUUUCAAUCUUUGAGGAAAUUAGUUGUGGGGUUUUUUUUAAUCUUCUCAGACUUUAGAUUGCCAAAAACAUAUUGGAAACUUAGUUAACUGAUGUCAAAGAUAUUGUGAUUUUAAAUAUAUGCAAU